UACAGGGGGGGGCAAGCGUUGUUCGGAAUUACUGGGCGUAAAGGGUUCGUAGGUGGCCACUUAAGUCAGACGUGAAAUCCCUCAGCUUAACUGGGGAACUGCGUCUGAUACUGAGUGGCUUGAGUGCAGGAGAGGAAUGCGGAAUUCCAGGUGUAGCGGUGAAAUGCGUAGAUAUCUGGAGGAACACCGGUGGCGAAGGCGGCAUUCUGGAGCUGUAACUGACACUGAGGAAACGAAAGCCAGGGGAGCAAACGGG
rnacentral:rRNA from 1 species